CCCGCACAAGCGGUGGAGCAUGUGGUUUAAUUUGAACGCAUACGUGAAGAUCCUUACCUGGUCUUGACAUCCCUCUGACCGCUCUUUAAUCGGGGCUUUCCUUCGAGACAGAGGAGACAGGCAGUGCAUGGUAGUCGUCAGCUCGUGUCGUGAGAAGUUGGGUUAAGUACCGCAACGAGCGCAACCCCUAUCUUUAGUAGCCAGCAUUUUGGAUGGGCACUCUAGAGAGAAUGCCAGGGAUAACCUGGAGGAAGGUGGGGAUGACGUCAAAUCAUCAUACCCCGUAUGACCAGGGCUACACACGUGCUACAAUGGAGUAAACAAAGGGAAGCGAGCCCGCGAGGGGGAGCAAACCCCAAAAAUAACGUCUCAGUUAGGAUUGUAGUCUGCAACUCGACUACAUGAAGCUGGAAUCGCUAGUAAUCGCGAAUCAGAAUGUCGCGGUGAAUACGUUCCCGGGUCUUGUACACACCGCCCGUCACACCAUGGGAGUCAGUAACGCCCGAAGUCAGUGACACCAACCGCAAGGAGGGAGCUGCCGAAGGUGGGA
rnacentral:rRNA from 1 species